CCGAGGUGGGGUCGGUGUUAUGAAAGCUACAGUGAGGAUCACAAAAUUGUGGAAGAGAUGACUGAAAUUAUACUUGGUCUGCAAGGGGAUAUUCCUGCUAAUUCUCGGAAAGGAGUUCCAUAUGUUGGUGGAAAGAAAAAAGUUGCAGCUUGUGCGAAGCACUUUGUGGGUGAUGGUGGAACAACCAAGGGCAUCAAUGAGAACAACACAGUGAUUGACAAGCAUGGGUUGUUGAGCAUCCACAUGCCUGCUUAUUCUGAUUCAAUUAUCAAGGGUGUUUCAACAAUCAUGGUUUCCUACUCUAGUUGGAAUGGGGUUAAGAUGCAUGCAAACCGUGAGCUAAUUACUGGCUUCCUCAAGAAAACCCUCAAAUUUAAGGGUUUUAUUAUCUCAGAUUGGCAGGGCAUUGACAGGAUUACCUCACCACCAUAUGCGAACUACUCCUAUUCUGUUCAAGCUGCAAUUCAAGCUGGCAUUGACAUGGUUAUGGUC
rnacentral:misc_RNA from 1 species